GUCUACAGCCAUGCCACCCUGAACAAGCCUGAUCCCAUCUGAUCUCAGAAGCUAAGCAGGGUCGGGCCUGGUUAGUACUUGGAAGGGAGACCACCUAGGAAGACCAGGUGCUGUAGGCA
rnacentral:rRNA from 1 species